GCCUGGGUGGCUCAAUCAGUUGAGUGUCCGACUUUGGCUCAGGUCAUGAUCUCACAGUUUGUGGGUUCAAGCCCACGUCAGGCU
rnacentral:tRNA from 1 species